rnacentral:rRNA from 1 species
AACUUAGCAGAGAUGCUUUGGUGCCUUCGGGAACUCUGAGACAGGUGCUGCAUGGCUGUCGUCAGCUCGUGUUGUGAAAUGUUGGUUAAGUCCCGCAACGAGCGCAACCCUUAUCCUUUGUUGCCAGCGGCUCGGCCGGGAAACUCAAAGGAGACUGCCGGUGAUAAACCGGAGGAAGGUGGGGAUGACGUCAAGUCAUCAUGGCCCUUACGGCCAGGGCUACACACGUGCUACAAUGGCGCAUACAAAGAGAAGCGACCUCGCGAGAGCAAGCGGACCUCACAAAGUGCGUCGUAGUCCGGAUUGGAGUCUGCAACUCGACUCCAUGAAGUCGGAAUCGCUAGUAAUCGUAGAUCAGAAUGCUACGGUGAAUACGUUCCCGGGCCUUGUACACACCGCCCGUCACACCAUGGGAGUGGGUUGCAAAAGAAGUAGGUAGCUUAACCUUCGGGAGGGCGCUUACCACUUUGUGAUUCAUGACUGGGGUGAAGUCGUAACAAGGUAGGCGUAGCGAG